UGGAUCCAGACUUUGAUUAUGGCUCAGGAUGAACGCUGGCGGCGUGCUUAACACAUGCAAGUCGAACGAAGCACUCUAUUUGAUUUUCUUCGGAGAUGAAGAUUUUGUGACUGAGUGGCGGACGGGUGAGUAACGCGUGGGUAACCUGCCUCAUACAGGGGGAUAACAGUUGGAAACGACUACUAGUACCGCAUAAGCGCACGGUACCGCAUGGUACCGUGUGAAAAACUCCGGUGGUAUGAGAUGGACCCGCGUCUGAUUAGCUAGUUGGUGGGGUAACAGCCUACCAAGGCGACGAUCAGUAGCCGACCUGAGAGGGUGACCGGCCACAUUGGGACUGAGACACGGCCCAAACUCCUACGGGAGGCAGCAGUGGGGAAUAUUGCACAAUGGGGGAAACCCUGAUGCAGCGACGCCGCGUGAGCGAAGAAGUAUUUCGGUAUGUAAAGCUCUAUCAGCAGGGAAGAAAAAAUGACGGUACCUGACUAAGAAGCACCGGCUAAAUACGUGCCAGCAGCCGCGGUAAUACGUAUGGUGCAAGCGUUAUCCGGAUUUACUGGGUGUAAAGGGAGCGCAGGCGGUGCGGCAAGUCUGAUGUGAAAGCCCGGGGCUCAACCCCGGUACUGCAUUGGAAACUGUCGUACUAGAGUGUCGGAGGGGUAAGUGGAAUUCCUAGUGUAGCGGUGAAAUGCGUAGAUAUUAGGAGGAACACCAGUGGCGAAGGCGGCUUACUGGACGAUAACUGACGCUGAGGCUCGAAAGCGUGGGGAGCAAACAGGAUUAGAUACCCUGGUAGUCCACGCUGUAAACGAUGAAUACUAGGUGUUGGAGAGCAUUGCUCUUCGGUGCCGCAGCAAACGCAAUAAGUAUUCCACCUGGGGAGUACGUUCGCAAGAAUGCAACUCAAAGGAAUUGACGGA
rnacentral:rRNA from 1 species